rnacentral:rRNA from 1 species
ACGGAGGGUGCGAGUGUUAUUCGGAUUUACUGGGCGUAAAGAGCACGUAGGCGGAUAGGCAAGUCAGAUGUGAAAGCCCGGAGCUUAACUCCGGAACUGCAUUUGAUACUGCUAAUCUUGAGUGUGGGAGAGGGGGAUGGAAUUUCUGGUGUAGAGGUGAAAUUCGUAGAGAUCAGAAGGAACACCAGAGGCGAAGGCGAUCUCCUGGACCAUAACUGACGCUGAGGUGCGAAAGCGUGGGGAGCAAACAG